CAUAUUUCUUCACUUAUCUGUCUCAAACUUGUAUCUCGCCUGUCUGGCUGCAGAAAUUCCAGGUUGUUGUUACUGAAAGUGUGAACCCUGCUGCUCUGGAGGCUGAUAUCGACCACGCGCUGGCUACAGAAAACUAGAUGGCACCUGCUGUUAUGUCACUGUUUAUAAAGGCUUCAUAUGGAACGUAGAGGAAGACUUUAAGAUGGUGCCAGAGACGUGGAUCCCAGCUCACAGAGUCCAACAUCAUGACGGCCACCCGGUGC